CCUACGGGUGGCAGCAGUGAGGAAUAUUGGUCAAUGGGAGAGAUUCUGAACCAGCCAUGCCGCGUGAGUGAAGACGGCCCUAUGGGUUGUAAACUUCUUUUGUCGGAGAAAAAAACCCGGGACGUGUCCCGGACUGCGCGUAUCCGAAGAAAAAGCAUCGGCUAACUCCGUGCCAGCAGCCGCGGUAAUACGGAGGAUGCGAGCGUUAUCCGGUUUUAUUGGGUUAAAGGGGUGCGUAGGCGGUCCGUUAAGUUAGCGGUAAAAUGGCGGGGCUCAACCCCGUCGAGCCGUUGAAACUGGCAGACUUGAGUGGGCGAGAAGUACGCGGAAUGCGCGGUGUAGCGGUGAAAUGCAUAGAUAUCGCGCAGAACUCCGAUUGCGAAGGCAGCGUACCGGCGCCAGACUGACGCUGAGGCACGAAAGCGUGGGGAGCGAACAGGAUUAGAUACCCGUGUAGUC
rnacentral:rRNA from 1 species